CAAAAUAGUGAUAUGGAGCAAAACCCUAAAAACGGUCUCAGUUCGGAUUGAAGGCUGAAAUUCGCCUUCAUGAAGCUGGAAUUGCUAGUAAUGGCAGGUCAGCAUACUGCCGUGAAUACGUUCCCGGGCCUUGUACACACCGCCCGUCACACCAUGAGAGUUGGGAAUACCCGAAGCCUGUGAGCUAACUGUAAGGAGGCAGCAGUCGAAGGUAGAAUCAAUGAUUGGGGUGAAGUCGUAACAAGGUAAC
rnacentral:rRNA from 1 species